AAAAAUUCCUUUUUGAUUAAUGCCUGGGAAAUUGCCCUGAUGUGGGGGAUAACCAUUGGAAACGAUGGCUAAUACCGCAUAGUAGCUUCGGCUUAAAGAGGGGGACCUUCGGGCCUCUCGCGUCAGGAUAUGCCCAGGUGGGAUUAGCUAGUUGGUGAGGUAAAGGCUCACCAAGGCGACGAUCCCUAGCUGGUCUGAGAGGAUGAUCAGCCACACUGGAACUGAGACACGGUCCAGACUCCUACGGGAGGCAGCAGUGGGGAAUAUUGCACAAUGGGCGCAAGCCUGAUGCAGCCAUGCCGCGUGUGUGAAGAAGGCCUUCGGGUUGUAAAGCACUUUCAGUCGUGAGGAAGGGUGUGUAUUUAAUAGAUGCGCACUUUGACGUUAGCGACAGAAGAAGCACCGGCUAACUCCGUGCCAGCAGCCGCGGUAAUACGGAGGGUGCGAGCGUUAAUCGGAAUUACUGGGCGUAAAGCGCAUGCAGGUGGUUCGUUAAGUCAGAUGUGAAAGCCCGGGGCUCAACCUCGGAAUAGCAUUUGAAACUGGCGAACUAGAGUACUGUAGAGGGGGGUAGAAUUUCAGGUGUACGGUGAAUGCGUAAGAUCUGAAGGAAACCAGUGGCGAAGGCGGCCCCUGGACAAUACUGACCUCAGAUGCGAAGCGUGCGGAGCAACAGGAUAGAUACCUGGUAGCCCUCCGUAACGA
rnacentral:rRNA from 1 species